ensembl:snoRNA
GCUUUUCUGUGAUGAGGCCCUGGAGUGUGCUAGGUAGGUCCAGCACCCGACUAAGACUGCGGAAGCAUUCCUGUUGCCUUCCUUCUGAGAAAAGC